rnacentral:rRNA from 1 species
UACGGGGGGGGUAAGCGUUGUUCGGAAUUACUGGGCGUAAAGGGCUCGUAGGCGGCCAACUAAGUCCGACGUGAAAUCCCAAAGCUUAACUUUGGAACUGCGUCGGAUACUGGAUGGCUUGAAUUCGGGAGAGGGAUGCAGAAUUCCAGGUGUAGCGGUGAAAUGCGUAGAUAUCUGGAGGAAUACCGGUGGCGAAGGCGGCAUCCUGGACCGACAUUGACGCUGAGGAGCGAAAGCUAGGGGAGCAAACGGG